UUCUUUAUUUUUGGUGUCUUGU
rnacentral:siRNA from 1 species